rnacentral:rRNA from 1 species
UACGGAGGGGGCUAGCGUUGUUCGGAAUUACUGGGCGUAAAGCGCACGUAGGCGGCUUUGUAAGUUAGAGGUGAAAGCCCAGGGCUUAACCCUGGAAUUGCCUUUAAGACUGCAUCGCUAGAAUUGUGGAGAGGUGAGUGGAAUUCCGAGUGUAGAGGUGAAAUUCGUAGAUAUUCGGAAGAACACCAGUGGCGAAGGCGACUUACUGGACACAUAUUGACGCUGAGGUGCGAAAGCGUGGGGAGCAAACAGG